rnacentral:lncRNA from 1 species
AUCUAGAGUGCUUUCCUUCUCUGACUUUUCAGCGCUUUGUACCUGGGCUCCUUUGACACGCGUUGAUUCCUGCUUUCUGGAUCUCAUAGACUGCUGUUUCUGCCUGCACGGGCCAGAUGGCCCAGCACCUUCCCUUCCAGUCCGCUUAGCGCAGUCAUAGGCUUCUGUCCGGCUUGGAUUUGUCUUUUCUGCUCUGCAUUCAAGGCCCGUUCACCUCCGCAGUCAAGCCUCGUUCACCUCCGCAGUUCUGAGACCUGGGGAAGGCAGAGCCCCAUCUCCCACUUAGGGAACUGGGUGGAUUGGAUACUCCUUUUCCCCACUCCUGGUUGGUGGCACCUGGCCGGGUGCCUGAGGCCUGACUGCACGAAUGGCCUGCAUGGGACUUUGACUCUAGAGCUGGCAACGGAGAGGGCGGCUCAGGUUUCAUUGGAAUCGUUGAUCAUGAUGUGGAGAAGAGCUUGGACUGGCUGUGUACCCGCUUCAGUAACUGUGCUGCCCCUUAUCUGGAAUGGUGUCAAAUAAACUUCACGAAGAUUUAAAGCCUCAGAGAUAAGUGUGCAAUUGAAAAUGUAUUCCUAUUAUGCAUUUAAAGCAAUGUGAUACUACCUGGUCUCUAAACUGAAUUUUAAACAGCUGGAGCUAUUGG